rnacentral:lncRNA from 1 species
CCUCAUAACUAUUGAACUGUGAUGGGUAGGGACUUUAUAAAUGGAGGCCAACCCCCCUUUUCCUACCCAUCAGAAAACCCUAGCAUUUUUUGUUCUAGAAUACAUGAUAUAGAGCUCGACGUCCCAUUGAUUGAUAUAGCUAUAAAAUUUUGAAAGUUGAUCUCAAGUUUAACCACCGAUUGCUACGUUGCUUAUCAAUGGUGAUGAACGGUAUGCUUUUUUGUUAAAUCUCAAGAUUAUGUUUAUGUUUGUUUAUUAAUCUCUGCUAUGGUUGUGAAUUAAGAAUCUAACAGUAUAAAAACUAUUUUGUCUCAUUCAUCAAACCUAAAUCGUUGGUAGUAAGUUGGAUGUCAUCAACAUAAAGAACCAUAAUAAUGAAAUUACCUCAAGGCUUUUUGAUAUAGACACAUUUAUGAAGCUUAUUUUUAACAAAUCCAAAAUUCGUAAUGGCUUCAUCAAAUUUAAUGUACAACUAUCUAGAAGCUUGUUUAAGUAUAUAAAUUGAUUUGUUAAGUUUACACACUAUGUGUUCUUUACCAGUUUUCUAGAACCCUUUAGGCAGAAGUAUAUGAACUUCUUCACAAAAACUACAAUUAAGAAGAGAAGUUUUAAUAUCCAUCUGAUGCAACUCUAAAUCAAAAUGAGCCACAAAAUCCAUGGCAAUCCAUAGAAACUAAACCUGCUUUGUAGCGAUCUGUAUUUCCCUUAGAGUUUCUCUUUGUUUAAAAUAUCCAUUUUCAACCAAUAGGUUUGAAACCUACAGGCAAUUCAACAAACUCCAACACUUUGUUGUGAUCCAUGGAUUGUAUUUUAUCUUUAAUUGCUUUAUGCGAUUUAUCAACACACGAAGAGGAAAGGGAUUGAGAAUAUGAUAAGGGAUCAGUCAGCUCUCAACUAUCACUAAUAAUUUCAGUCACAUACAAAACAAAAUCAUCCAAAAUAGCAGAUCUUCUUUCUCUUUGAGAUCUACAAGGUGGACCAUCAUUAUAUUCAGGACCAACAGAAGGAUUUAUAUCGUUGUUCCCUAAACCAUCCCCUUUAUGAAAAGGUCAAUUUGCUACCUCUUCAUCGAAAAUAGUUUCACGAUCGAGGCUACCCCGUAGUCGCGAUAAUGAUGCUUACGUCCACAAGUCACCCCAAGUUAACCCAUGAGCUGGUACCUGUUGUAAGCACUAAGUAAGAUAGUAAUACAUCACAUAUGCGGAAGAUAAAAUGAUAAGAUACUAUAAAUCUAAGUACUGAAAUACAUAGUAAUGACAUGUCUGAAAUAUCUAAUAAAAUAUUGAAAGAGCUGACUGACUUUCUAAUUGGUUGUUUAAAGCCUCUGAACAUCAUAAGGAGUUGAUGGGACAAACCCCCAACUAACUCCGACUGACUAAACAUAAGGAAAUACUAAAAUAACAGAGAAAAACAAAUCAUGUCCUCGAUGGAUGAGGACUCACCACUACUACUACUAGAUAACACUGAGCUAUCUAAGAACGGUCGAAAAAUUAAGCAUCCGAACCUAUGUUAUAAGACAACAUAAAGAAAAGAAAAGUAUGCGGUCAGUACUUUGAAUGUACUGGUAUAUGAGAUAAGAACAGGCUGAAAUGCAUGAGGUAACUGAGCAUGAAUGCAUGAACAUAUAAUAUCUGAGAAUGCAAAGCCAAGUAUAAAUAUGUUACAGAGAUAAUCUGUAAUCUGAAAGACUGAAAUCUAGAUAACCGAAUAGUUGACAAUCUAUACAUUUGGUCAAGAAAACCUGAGCUGAGAUAUACUAAUAUACUGAUUAAAACUGUGGGAGGUAUCAUGUAACUGAUAUGCCCCAAAUCUGAGCUAAUCGGGGUCCAACCUGUAACCCAGUUGGAAGGGUGUCAGUACCGUGCCAAGGGUACUAAAACUGGCUGUGUGAAUUCUCUAAUCUAAUGUCCUGAAGGACCAGGGUGUCAAGCCUAAACUGAAGGGUGACCCUUGAGAGGAAGUCAUGCCUAAACUAAUGGGUGACCCCUCAUAACCUACGCUGGUUACGUAGUUCUGGAACUUAUAGAUUGGUACUAAUAACUCUGCCUAAACUGACUGGAGAGCCUCCAUCCCAGUAUUCACUCGGUGCUAAAUCCUACUUCCAUUUGAAUUAACACUGGAAUCAUGAACUGGUGCAUGCACUAAUGACUAAUAUGCUCAAACAUGGUAUAUUGAAAACUAAUAGUGCAUGCAUAAUCUGAAGUAACCGUGAACAUGUAAACUGAUGUAUUUAACAUGAAGUAAGACUGGUGAAAACGAUAAUAUGUAAAAACACAUAGGUAUCAGGAGUUUAUAACCCGCCAACACUGAAUGAUCAUAAAAUACGACAUCAAAGCUUAAAUCUCUAGUAUGGAAUUAUAGUUCAACGAACCAAAACAUAAAAAUUCCACCAAGUAAGUGAAAAACAUGAACUUGAACAUGGAAACGUGUUAAACAUGAGGAAACAACAUGAUUAUAUGACUAAAUUCAUAAUUCUAUAUUUUAAUAGGAAAUUCACUGGAAUAUGACAUGGGAAAUUGAAAUUUCAAACAUGACAUAACCUAAUUUUUCAUGGGAUCAUACAUGAACAUGGAUUGAAUUCAAGUUACUAAGGAAAAACAUGAAUUAAACUCAUCUUGAACAUAUGAAACUCCAUAAUAAAGGAAAAACCCAUAUUUUAAUCAAAGAGAAGUUUUUUGGGCUCAAUGGGUGAAAGGGACCAUUGAUGAAUAUCCCACAUACCUCAAUAGAUAGUUUCUUGGAGAUUUCCUGAGGUUUUCUUGAACUUGGAAGCUUGAACUAUUGAUUUCUUGAUGAAGAGCUUAGGUUUUAUUCUUGAGAAAGAAGGAGGAUUUCUUGAGAAAAAUUGAGUGAAAGAGGCAAAUAAUACCCUUUUGGAAGUCCCAAAUUAUGUUCAGAACGAAUUGGGUUAAGGGAAAUGACUCAAAUUCCCCUUAAUUUAAAGACCAAAGAGAUGGACGAAAUAGCACUGGCAUGUUGUGGGCUACAGCCCGAUAGAGGAAGCCCCGCGCUGUGAACUCUAGUUCGAAAGAGCAAGCCCCGCGUCGCAAACCCCAAGGCUGUGGGAAUAGCCCUUGUGCCACGGGCUUAUGUUAGGGGGGCUAUGUUUUCAUUUCCCAAAUAUGCCCCUACGUUCAUCUAAAAAUCCCAAAACUCCCCCGAGACAUACCUUUAACAAACCCUAACAUGAAUCAACUCAAAAACCAAUGUCUAGAGAUCGGGAAGACCAAAAUAAAAAUUUGUGAAGUUUAGGGUUCUUGAAAAUGACUAAAUCCUUAACACAGUUAAAAUUUUAAGCCUUUGACCCCUUAAGCAUGUAACUACAAUUGAAUCGAGCUUAGGAUCUUACGGGAUAUUACAAUAUCUCCCCCUUGGGAACAUUCAUCCUCGACUAAGACUAGUUAGACUAAGAAUCCUAAAGUACUGAGACAAUAUACUAAACAUGCAUAACUUGGAAACAUAUUACUUAACUAAGUAUGAAGCAUGAUACAUGAACUAAACUAAUUUUGGUAAUGCAUGCAAUGUCAUGAGAAUGGUUGCAUAGCUGAAACUGAGAACAAAACAGAUUCAAUCUAAGGAAAAUCAUUACCUCAAGGUAAAUCUAAGUUUAUACAGAAAAGAUGAGGGCAAUUCGUUUGUAUAUCUGCUUCUGCUUCCCAAGUAGCUCCCUUAAUAGACUGAUUCUGCCAAAGAACUUUAACCAAGGGGACUUCUUUAUUCCUUAGCCUACGAAUAUGAUGAUCAAGGAUCUCAACUGGGACUUCUUUGUAGGAAAGGCUAUCCUUAACAUCCAUACUUUCUAAGGGAACAACAACAACUGAAUCACCAAUACAUUUCUCUAACAAAAGAAACAUGGAACACUAGAUUCACUGAUGCCAAAUCUGUAGGUAACUCAAGCUCAUAAGCUACAUUCCUAAAACGGUUCAAGAUUCUAUAUGGGCUAACAUAAUGGGGACAGGGUUUCCCCUCCUUGCCAAAUAUUUUCACCCCCUUAAUAGGUUAAAUUUUCAAAUAAACAAAGUCACCAACCUCAAACUCAAGAUCUCUUCUCGUCACGUCUGCAUAAGAUUUUUGACAGCUUUGGGCUGUCUUCAGCCUCUCCUGAAUUAUAUGAACUUUCUUCAUAGCCUCAAACAUUGAAUCUGGCCCUAUCAAAAUAGCCUCAUCUACUUCAAACCAACUCAUAGGAGACCUAUAUCUCCUCCCAUAGAGAGCCUCAAGCAGUACCAUCUGAAUACUGGAGUGAUAACUAUUGUUAUAAGCAAACUCAAUCAAAGGUAAGUGGUCAUCCUAACUACUUUUAAAGUCAAUAACAUAGACCCUCAACAUGUCCUCUAAAGUCUGGAUGGUCCUCUCUGCUUGACCAUCUGUUUGAGGAUAAAAAGUUGUACUAAGAUGAACUUAGUACCAAGACCCUUCUUAAAAGCCUUCCAAAAGUGAGAAGUAAAUUGAGCACCUCUAUCUGAAAUGAUAGACAACGAAACCCCAUGAAAUUUCACCCACUCUCUGAGAACUAAAAUAAUCCUCAGUCAAAUACUACAUAUGAGCUAGUAAGAAAUAAGAUGAUUUGGUCAUUCUAUCUAUAAUGACCCAAAUUAAAUUAUAGUGACGACGCAUAAGAUAAAUCCUGGAACAAAAUCCAUAUUAAUCACCUCCUACUUCCAAGUGGGCUUGAUGAACUCCUGAAGUGUACCACUAGGCCUUUGAUGCUCAACUUUGACCUACAGAUAAUUUGAACACUUAGCCACAAACUCGGCAAUAUCCUUCUUCAUACCAAUCCACCAAUUAAUUUCUCGCAAAUCAUGAUACAUCUUAGUGUCUCCUAGGUGGAUAGAAUAUCGUGCACCAUGCACUUUACAAGUAUUCACAUUAACUCAUAGAACAUAUAACCUGCCCUAAAAAUGAAGCAUACCAUCUCUCCCUUGGGAGAAAACCUCCUAUUUCUGAUCUCUAACUGCUUCCUUCAACUUAACCAAUUGGGAUCCCUGUCUUGAUUUUCUUUUGCUUUGGAAACCAAUGAAGAUUUCGAACCAUUCUGAACCUAUAUACUACCUUCAGCUGAAUCAACCAAUCGAACACCUAAUUUAGCAAGCUGAUAAACCUUGUGAACUAAUUUUUUCUUAACUUCCUCAACAUGAGCAACACUACCCAUGGACAGUCUACUAAGGAAAUCCGCCACUACAUUAGCCUUGCCCGGAUAAUACAACACACUCAUAUCAUAAUCUUUUAACAACUCAAGCCACCUUAUCUGGCGAAGAUUCAGAUCUUUCUACAUGAACCCAUACUGUAAUCUCUUAUGAUCCAUGAACACCUAAAUAUAGACCCCAUAAAGAUAAUGUCUCCAAAUUUUCAAGGCAAAAACAAUAGCUGAGAACUCAAGAUCAUGGGUAGGAUAAUUCUUUUUAUGGGGUUUAAGCUGUUUGGAGGUAUAGGCUAUUACCUUGAUUCUGGAAAUCAAAACACAACCAAGACCAACUCUGGAAGCAUCACAGUAAACUACAAAUCCAUCUAGACCAUCUGGCAAAGUCAAAACUAGGGCAGAAGUGAGUUGAGUCUUCAUCUCCUAAAAACUCUUCUCGCAUGAAUCUGAUCAUUGAAGCUUGACCUUCUUCAGAUUCAACUGAGAUAUGGGGGAAGAAAUAGAAGAAAAACCUUUAAAAAACCACCUAUAAUAGCCAGUUAGACCUAAGAAAAUCUCGAUAUCUGAUAGAAAGAUGGGUCUAGCUAGUUUCUCACUGCUUCAGUCUUUUGAGGGUAAACUUGGAUUCCAUAACUAAAAACUAUAUGGCCAAGGAAAGCUACUGAUUUUAUCAAAAAAUUGCACUUACUAAACUUAACAAAUAACUGAUGAUCUGUAAGGGUCUACAACACGACCCUCAAAUGAUUUGCAUGAUAAUUCUGAUUAUGAGAAUAAGUAAGGAUAUCAUCGAUGAAGACUAUGAAAAACAUAUCUAAGUACUUCUUGAACACCCUGUUCAUCAAGUCCAUGAAGGAUGUAGGAAAAUUCGUUAGUCAAAAAGACAUAACUAGAAAUUCAAAGUGACCAUAACAAGUUCUGAAAGCUAUCUUUGGAAUUUCAUAUCUCUAACUCGAAGCUGAUGAUAGCCAAAUCUGAGGUAUAUCUUAGAGAAAUUACUAGCACCCUAAAGUUGGUAGAAUAAUUCAUCAAUUCUGAGAGUGGGUAUUUAUUCUUAAUUGUGAAUUUGUUCAACUAACGGUAGUUCAUGCAUAUUCUAAGAGAACCAUUGUUCUUACGCACUAACCAUACUGGAGAGCCCCAUCAAGAAAUGUUAGGUCUGAUGAAACCCUUAUCUAAGAGAUCUUUUAACUACUCCUUCAACUACCUAAGCUCAAGUGAAGCCAUUUUGUAAGGUGGAAUAGAGAUAGACUGGGUGUCUGGAAGGAGAUCUAUCCCGAAGUCACUAUUCCUUUCGGGAGAAAUUCUAGAAAGAUCUUCAGGGAACACAUCUGGGAAUUCCCUUACUACUAAAACUGACUCUAGACUCAAAGCCUCAAAAUUUGAGUCUUUGACUCAGACAAAAUGGUAAACAAACCCCUUAGAUAUUAUCUUUUUUGCUUUAAUAUAUGAAAUAAUCUGACCCCUAAGCACUGAGGAAUACCCCUCCAUUCAAUGACUUGUUCAUUAGGAACUAAAAUUGAGCAACUUUAUUUCUACUAUCAACCGAGGCAUAGCAUGCGUGGAGCAAAUCCAUGCUAAGAAUGACAUCAAAAUUAGUCAUCUCCAACUCUACAAGAUCAACUGAGGUGAUUUUCUGAGAUACUGUGAUUGGGCAAUUUCUAUAUACCUGCCUGGAAAUAAUAGAUUUACCCAUUGGGAUAGGCACUGAGAAAAGCUCUACUAAUGUUUUGGGAUUGGCACCAAAAUUAACGGCUAUAUAAGGAUUCACAAAGAAAGUGAACCUAUGGGGUCUAAUAACAUAUAAACAUAAAGAUGAAAAAACUUUAACAUACCUGUAACCAUAUCAAUAGAACUUUCCUAGUCAUGUCGAGUUUGGAGAGCAUACAACUUGUUCUAGCAUUUCCCACUGGUGUCACUGGAUAUGCCACCCUACUGAGUCGGGCGACUUUCUGGUGUUGAAGAAGAAUUAGUCUGGCCCUGAAAGCGAUCAUUUCUGCCCCUCUGAGAAACUAUCAAACACUCACGGAUCCUGUGUCCUGUCUUGCCACAUCCAAAACACACAUCACUACCAGCUCGACACUCACCCUGGUAGUUUCUACCAUAUUUCCUGCAAAGAGAAUAGUACGACCACUGUUCACGUUCCCUGCAACUUAGAGCCUGAAGCCUUAUCCUGAUCGUCUUACCUAAAUUUAGGCACUAUUGCACUAGAUGAAGAUGGAGCUGGGGUUGAAAAUUUUUGAUGGAACUGGAAACAGUUACUACCUUUUGACCUUGGCUAAGAAAAGUUGAAACUACUUGUUCUGGCCCUCUUAUUCUCUCCCUCCUUCUCUUUACGUUUUUCCUCUUCAAUCUACUGAGCAUGAACCAUGAGUAUAGAUAGGUCUAUAUCCUUAAUCAAUAUAGAGGUCCUACACUCUUUAACCAUACUAUCAGCUACACCAGAUACAAACUUACUCAUUAGACCUAUUAUCUGCCACCAUAGUAGGAGCAUACCUCGCCAACUGAGUGAACUUAAGAAAAUACUCCUUAAUGCUCAUAUUACCCUACUUUAAAUUGAUGAACUCUUGAAUAUUAACUUUCUUCAACUCUCGAGGAAAGAACCUAUCUAAGAAAGAUGUGGCAAACUCGUCCCACCUUACCGGCCUUGCAUCAACACCUCGAUCCUUCUUCCACUGCUUAAACCAGGUGUGAGCUAUAUCCUGCUACUGAUAUGUAACUAACUUUAUAAUCUCAAUCGAAGUAUGCCCAUGAAAUUUUUCACUUUCUGCCCCAUCUCCUGUGGAAACUCCUUAGACUUGAAUCCCAAAAAUAAAAGGGGAUUCAUCUGAGUAAAAUCCUGAAUCCUAACUGUACCAGUAUUCGCCACUAGAUUGGAUGGGGCAACAGGCUUCUAGUUGUUCUGAGCAGCUAGAGAAUGGGAUAGAGUAGUGAAAGCAGCCCUAAAUUUGGCUUGAGAGGCAUGCUUAUUUAGAGGAUCUUCCUGAAUAGGUGGUAUAGGCUGAUCUCUUUUUCUUAUUUUGAGAGGAAUUUCUUGUAAAUGGAAUAAAGGAUGAUUUAGAAAUAGGGAUUAAAUAUAGCUCAUGCUCUUUCUCAUGAUAUGAACACUAAAAAAGGGAAACUUUCCUAAAACGUCUCAUAGCCUCUUGCCAAUAAGUUUGGUGCGCUUCACACCCAUGCACAAGACUCUACUCAACUCAUCUUUUAGACUCUCUAGGAUACUUUAAAACCUUAGAAUCUGCUACCAAGUUUUGUCACGACCCGAGGAUACCCCCUAGUCAUGACAAGGGUGCUUACAACCAUAAGUGACCACAAGCUAGCCCAUGAGCUGGUACCCGUUGUAAGCCCUAAGUAAGAUUGUAAUACAUCACAUAUACAAAAGAUAAACUUAUAAGAUACUAUAAAUCUAAGUACUAAAAUACAUAGUAAUGAUAUGUCUAAAAUAUUUGAUAAAAUACUUAACAAUAGACUAACUUUCUAACUAGUUAUCUGAAAGUCUCUAAACAUCAUGAGGAGUUGAUGGGACAAACCCUAACAAACUAUGACUGACUGAACAUAAGGAAAUAGUGAAAUAACUGACAAAAAAUUAUUCAUUUUCUCAAUGGAUAAGGACUCACCACUAUUUCUUCUAGAUAACGCUGAGCUGUUUAAGAACGAUUAGGAAACUAAGCGUCCAUACCUAUGUUAUAAAACAAUAAAGCUCAAAGAAAAGUAUGCGGUCAGUACUUCGAAUAUAGGUAUAUGAGAUAAGAAAUGGCUUAAAUGCAUGAGAUAAUUGAGCAUGAAUGCAUGAACAUGUAAUAUCUAAGAAUGCAAGACCAAGUAUAAAUAUGUUACUAGAUAAUCUAUUAUAUGAAAAACUAAAAUCUGUAUAAUUAAUAAUUUGUACACUUAGUCAAGAAAACCUGAGCUGAGAUAUACUGAUAUACUGACUGAAACUGUGGGAGGUAUCAUGUAACCGACAUGCCCCAAAUCUAAGCUAAUCAGGAUCCAACCUGUAAUCUCAGUUGGAAGGGUGUUAGUAUUGUGCCAUGGGUACUAACACUGGCUGUGUGGAUCCUCUAAUCUGAUGCUCCAAAGGACCAGGAUGUCAAGGCUAAAUUGAUGGGUGACCUCUAAGAGAAAUUCAAGCCUAAACUGAUGGGUGACCCCUCAUAACCUAUGCUGGCUACCUAGUUCUGGAACUUAGGAAUUGCUACUAAUGACUCUGCCUAAAGUGAUGGGGGAUCCUCCAUCCCUACAUUUCCUCGAUGAUAAAUGCUACUCCUAACUGAACUAACACUGGAAUCAUGAACUGGUGCAUGUACUGAUAACUUAUAUGCUCAAACAUAGUAUUAUGAAAAUUAACAGUGCAUGCAUAAUCUGAAGUAACUGUGAAUAUGUAAACUGAUGUAUUUAACAUGGAGUAAGACUGGUGAGUUCAUUAUAAAAAUGAUAAUCUGAAUAUUGGAAUAAAAUCAUGAUUUUGAUUGACUUGUUACUUGAAAAUGAUAACAUGUAAAAAUACAUAGGUAUCAGGAGUUCAUAACCCCCAACACUGAAUGAUCAUAAAAUACGACAUCAAAGCUUAAAACUGUUGUAUGAAAUCAUGGUUCAAAGAUCAAAAACAUAAAUAUUUUACCAAAUAAGUGAAAAGCAUGGACAUAGUCAUGGAACACGUUAAACAUGAGGAAACAACAUGAUUACAUGACUAAAAUUCAUAAUUCAAUAUAGUAAUUGGAAAUUCACUGGAAUAUGACGUGGGAAAUUGAAAUUUAAAGCAUGGCAUAACCAAAAUUCUCAUGGGAUCUUACGUGAACAUGGAUUGAAUUUCAAGUUACUAAGGACAAGCAUGAAUUAAAAUCAUCUUGAACAUAUAAAACUCCAUAAUAAGAAAAAAUCCAUAUUAAUCAAAGAGAAGGUUUUUGGGAUCAAUGGGUGAAAGGGACCCAUUAAUAAAUACCCCACAUACCUCAAAAAUAGUUUCUUGAAGAUUUCUUGAGGGUUUCUGGAACUUGGAAGCUUGAACUCUUGAUUUCUUGAGAAAGAUAUUAGGUUUUGUUCUUGGGAAAGAAGGAGAGUUUCUUGAGAGUAAUUUUGAGUGAAAGAGGCAAAUAAUGCCCUUUUGGAAGUCCCAAAUCCUGUUAAGGAUGAAUUUGGUUGAGGGAAAUGACUUAAAUUUCCCUUAAUUUAAAGACCAAGGAGUUGGACGGAAUAGCACUAGCGCACCAUGAGCGUUAGUCCAGUGGAGAAAGCCCCUUGUCAUGAACCCUAGUAUGGCAGAGCAAGCCUCACAUCGCAGACCCCACGACUGUGGUAAUGGCCCUCACGCCGCGGGCUUAUCUUAGGGGCCCUCUGUUUUAUUUCAGAAACAUGCCCCUAUGGUCAUCUGAAAAUUCCAAAACUCUCUUGAGUCAUACCUUUAACAACCCCGAGCAUGAAUCAACUCAAAAACCAAUGUCUCGGGGUUGGAAAGACCAAAAUAAAAAUUCAUAAAUUUUAGGGGUCUUGAAAAUGACUAAUUCCUUAACACUUAGUGAAAAUUUCAAGCCUUGAACCCCGUAAGAAUGUAACUACAACUGGACCGAGCUUAGGAUGUUACGGGGUAUUACAAAUAGGUACAAGAACAAUGAUUUCUUUUACUUUCAACAUAAUUUCCUUGCCAUAUGCACAAUUACAGUCAUAAACACCGUGAUCAAGGAAUUUUUCAUUAAUGGAUUCAAUGAUUCUUGUGCUACCACCAGAAAAAAAAAAUAAGAAACCUUUAGAGUUAUCAGGAUAGCCUAGAAGAAACAACUAGAAGUUUUAGGGUCAAUUUUAUUUUUAGAAGGUGUAAAAUAAGAACAUUAGUCAGACAUCCCUAAAUAUGAAAAUGGUUCAAGCUAGGUUCUUAAGUUGUCCAGAGUUCAAAAGUGGUUUUGAAAACAUAUUUUGUAGGGACUCUAUUGAGAAUACAAGUUGCAGUUCUUAAAGCGUCGCCCCAAUGAGACUUGGGUAGGCUAUUCCUUGGCCUCAUACUUCUCACCAAUUCGAUGAGAGUAUGGUUAUGAAUCUUAUCCACACCAUACUGCUCAGGUGUGCCUGACUAUAAUACACUAUAUAUUUCUAAGCUAGAAAAUGAACCGUUGUUCCUACACAUAAAACCUUCUAUCCUAUGAUUUAUAUUGGAGUACAUGAAUUAGGAUGAGUAUCCUAAUGAUAAUAGAUCUUACGAUGUAUUAAUCAUGUUCAUAAGAGUCACUUAGAGUAAGCCAAGCUAAGAACUUUUGAAUCCACCAAGUUUUCAUGUGUGAUUUCAUAUAGGUCAUCUUUGAAAGAGCAUAAAUUAGUUUAUAGGUGGUAUUUUGGCAGCUUAAUACCCUCCAAAUUGUGUAUAAUUGAAUAAGCUUUCCGUCGAUACCAAAUUUACCUAAAACGGACACCCGGUGAAGAAGUUAUGUCGAUUUAAAGUUUCAGCAGCGUUAUUUCAGUCAGUGGCGUGUCGCGCCGUAAGCCAAAAUGACGUUUGUCAAUAUAUAGUGUCUCUCCACGAUUCCACCGUAUUGCGGUGAGUUUCCAGGUCAUAAACGAGGGGCAACGUGAUAUCUCUACAUCACUCCGGGGGCCCAAAUCAGGUAAUUUUCACAGAAAUUAAAUGACGCAUCUAGAGGGGUAUUUAGGUCAUCUUUCAACCCCUAUAUAUAUUCCAUAAACACGGAAUUAAGCCUUUAUUUCACCAAAACAUACUCUUUCUCUCAAAUUCCUCUCAAGAACACAUUAGUGUUUUCAAUUGGGGUUUCAAGUUCAAGCAAAUUUCUCCAUCAAUCAUUAAGAAUCUUCCAUCUAAGGUAUGCAUAGUAUUCAUCUAUGGAUCCAUUUCGUUCAUAGAGCUCAAGAACCAUGUUUUAAAUAUUAUAUUGUGAUUGUCUUGUUAUGAUAUGACCAUGUACAUGUUGAUGAUUAUUGUUUAAGUUUCAAGAUGAUAUCUAAAGGUGUUUUCAUGAAGUAUAUGUGUUCGUUAGUUGAAAUUCGUGAACUUUAUGUGGUUUAAAAUGGGGAAAUUCAUAAAAACACACAUAAUCUAAAAGAAUGCAUGCAAAGUGUUUGAUUAAAGGCCUAGGAUGAUAGAAUUCAUGUCCUAUAAUUUAAUAGUGCUUAAAUGACAAGUCCAUGCUCUAUGCUUUAUGAUUUCACAUGAAUUCCAUAUGAUUGAUAUGCAUCGUUGUUGUGAUAUGGAUUAAGCAUGAUAUUGAAGAUAUGCAAGUAUACAAAUGUUUUAUGAAUUUCCCUUCCAUACGUAAGACGUUGAGAACUAUGCUUAGUGUGAAAUCCCCUACUUAUGAUAUGGUGAAUUGUGGACUCCAUUUUAUGGUCAAGUCAGUUAUGUGUGUCAGUUUUCUUCCAUCGAGUCCUGGGGGUACUAGUACCCAAACAAUAUAGUUGUGUGCCUAGAUCCAUGUCACGUUAUUACGAUAAUCUCAUUCAAGCCAUGAUCUAUAGAACUCAGUCAGUCAUGUGACUCAGGAAAUCUCAGAAAUCUCAUGAUCUCAAUAAAUUCUCAGAUAGUAGUAUUAUUCCGUCAGUCAACAAAAGUUAGUUACUCAGUCCAUGUACAUCUAGUUAAAUCAUAUUCAGUCUCUUCAGAUGGGAGUAAAAGUUAGCACCGAGUGAACCCAAGGAUGGGAACUCGCCUGCCAGUUUGGGGUGUGAUUCUUAGUAGUCAUCCUUGUGUUCCAGAACUACAUAGACAGUGUAGGUUGAGACAUCUUAACAUAUCAGAUUAGGGUUGAUGAGGUGGAUUAACCUGUCAGUUUAGAAUUCCCACCAUUCUCAUUCGAGUACCUUCCAGGUAAGGGUCACUAAUAGCUAUCCUUACCAGUGGCGCGGUAUUUACACCCUUUCAGUUGGGGCAGAGAUUGGACCCCAACCUAGCUAUAUGCGUUAUUGGGGCAUGUUGGUUAAGCAACUACCUCCCAUAGUUUCAAUCCCAGUCUCAGUAAAAGAACUCAGAUAGUUCUUCAGAUUUGAGUAUACCAGGACUGUCAGUUACGGUCAAUUCAAUUACAGUACGGAACUUAGGUAGUUCCAUCAGAUUCAGGACUGUCAGACACAGUCAUCCAUGGUAUCAAAAUUCCAGAAUCAGUCAUGUUAGAUAACAGUAAACCAUGUAUUAGCGUACAGAUCCAGAUAUCAUGUAUUCAUGAUCUCAGUUACUAUGUAUGCAUGCUUGCACUCUCACGUUCAUAUUAGUCAGUCAGUUAACAUUGUUCAUGCAUGUAAACCCUUUUGUAUUUAGACUACCUCACUCGUAUACUCAGUAUUCCUAGUCGUACUGACGCUUUUACACUAUGGUGCUUUCUUUCAUAUUACACCAUAGGUUCAGAGACACGAGUUUCAGAUCAGCAGUAGCAUUCUAGUCGCAGAGUUGCAGUGAGUUUUCAUCCAUUCGAGGACGAUAUUAUUUUAUUUCAUUCAUUAUUUUAGUUCAUUUUUGCUAGACGGAGUUAGUUGGAGACAUGUUCCUUCAACUCCUUAUUUCAGAUAGUAUUUAGAGGCUUUCAGAUUUAGUUCAGAUUUUAGAUUCAACUUUCAGUUGUUUUUGGGUAUAUGUUACCCUAUAUGGAUGUUAUUAUUUAUUAGAUAUUCUAUUCGGUUGAACAUUAUGGCCUAUUAUUCAUGUUUUCC